GACGAACGCUGGCGGCGUGCUUAACACAUGCAAGUCGAACGGGAUUUAGUAGACAGAAACCUCGGUGGAAGAUUACUAAUGAGAGUGGCGAACGGGUGAGUAACGCGUGAGCAACCUGCCUAUGACAGUGGGAUAGCCUCGGGAAACCGGGAUUAAUACCGCAUAAAAUCGUAGAAACACAUGUUUCAACGGUCAAAGAUUUAUCGGUCAUAGAUGGGCUCGCGUCUGAUUAGCUAGUUGGUGAGAUAACAGCCCACCAAGGCGACGAUCAGUAGCCGGUCUGAGAGGAUGAACGGCCACAUUGGAACUGAGACACGGUCCAAACUCCUACGGGAGGCAGCAGUGGGGAAUAUUGCACAAUGGGGGAAACCCUGAUGCAGCGACGCCGCGUGAACGAAGAAGGUAUUCGUAUCGUAAAGUUCUGUCCUAUGGGAAGAUAAUGACAGUACCAUAGAAGAAAGCUCCGGCUAAAUACGUGCCAGCAGCCGCGGUAAUACGUAUGGAGCGAGCGUUGUCCGGAAUUAUUGGGCGUAAAGGGUACGCAGGCGGUUUAAUAAGUCGAAUGUUAAAGAUCGGGGCUCAACCCCGUAAAGCAUUGGAAACUGAUAAACUUGAGUAGUGGAGAGGAAAGUGGAAUUCCUAGUGUAGUGGUGAAAUACGUAGAUAUUAGGAGGAAUACCAGUAGCGAAGGCGACUUUCUGGACACAAACUGACGCUGAGGUACGAAAGCGUGGGGAGCAAACAGG
rnacentral:rRNA from 1 species